AACGAACGCUGGCGGCAUGCCUAACACAUGCAAGUCGAACGAGACCUUCGGGUCUAGUGGCGCACGGGUGCGUAACGCGUGGGAACCUGCCCUUAGGUUCGGAAUAACUCCCCGAAAGGGGUGCUAAUACCGGAUAAUGUCUUCGGACCAAAGAUUUAUCGCCUUUGGAUGGGCCCGCGUUGGAUUAGCUAGUUGGUAGGGUAAAAGCCUACCAAGGCGAGGAUCCAUAGCUGGUCUGAGAGGAUGAUCAGCCACACUGGGACUGAGACACGGCCCAGACUCCUACGGGAGGCAGCAGUGGGGAAUAUUGGACAAUGGGCGAAAGCCUGAUCCAGCAAUGCCGCGUGAGUGAUGAAGGCAUUAGGGUUGUAAAGCUCUUUUAACCGGGAUGAUAAUGACAGUACCGGGAGAAUAAGCUCCGGCUAACUCCGUG
rnacentral:rRNA from 1 species